rnacentral:snoRNA from 1 species
ACUUGCAUUUGAAAGUGAUUUUGGGUUGCCAUGUGCCCUGGUUAUUGAUAUUGUAGGGAGAGAACUGCUGAAAGUGUUUCCCCAUGUUUGGAGAGUCCAUUCUUAUCCUUCCAAAGUCUGAAACUUUCAUACA